CCUACGGGUGGCAGCAGUGAGGAAUAUUGGUCAAUGGACGGAAGUCUGAACCAGCCAAGUCGCGUGCAGGAAGACGGAUCUAUGGGUUGUAAACUUCUUUUGUAGAGGGGUAAAGCUGUAUACGUGUGUUCAGCUGCAUGUACCCUACGAAUAAGGAUCGGCUAACUCCGUGCCAGCAGCCGCGGUAAUACGGAGGAUUCCAGCGUUAUCCGGAUUUAUUGGGUUUAAAGGGUGCGUAGGUGGUUUGUUAAGUUAGCGGUGAAAGGUUCGGGCUUAACCCGGGAACUGCCGUUGAAACUGGGGAUCUAGAGAGUGUAUGAGGUAGGCGGAAUGCGUGGUGUAGCGGUGAAAUGCAUAGAUAUCACACAGAACUCCGAUUGCGAAGGCAGCUUACCAAUCCAUAACUGACGCUGAGGCACGAAAGCGUGGGGAGCAAACAGGAUUAGAUACCCCGGUAGUC
rnacentral:rRNA from 1 species